rnacentral:rRNA from 1 species
AUUGAACGCUGGCGGCAGGCCUAACACAUGCAAGUCGAACGAGUGGCGGACGGGUGAGUAAUGUCUGGGAAACUGCCUGAUGGAGGGGGAUAACUACUGGAGACGGUAGCUAAUACCGCAUACCAUCAAAUGUGCCCAGAUGGGAUUAGCUAGGUGGUGGGGCAACGGCUCACCAAGGCGACGAUCCCUAGCUGGUCUGAGAGGAUGACCGGCCACCCGGGAACGGGGACACGGUCCAGACGCCUACGGGAGGCAGCAGUGGGGAAUAGUGCACAAUGGGCGCAAGCCUGAUGCAGCCAUGCCGCGCGUAUUAAGACGGCCUUCGGGUUGUAAAGUACUUUCAGCGGGGAGGCGUUAGCCGCAGAAGAAGCACCGGCUAACUCCGUGCCAGCCGCCGCGGUAAUAC